AGCGAACGCUGGCGGCAGGCUUAACACAUGCAAGUCGAGCGGCCGUAGCAAUACGGCAGCGGCAGACGGGAGAGUAACACGUGGGAACGUACCCUUCAGUUCGGAACAACCAAGGGAAACUUUGGCUAAUACCGAAUACGUCCGUAAGGAGAAAGAUUUAUCGCUGAAGGAUCGGCCCGCGUCGGAUUAGCUAGUUGGUGAGGUAACGGCUCACCAAGGCGACGAUCAGUAGCUGGUCUGAGAGGAUGAUCAGCCUCACUGGGACUGAGACACGGCCCAGACUCCUACGGGAGGCAGCAGUGGGGAAUAUUGGACAAUGGGCGCAAGCCUGAUCCAGCCAUGCCGCGUGGAUGAUGAAGGCCUUAGGGUUGUAAAGUCCUUUUAACGGGGAAGAUAAUGACGGUACCCGUAGAAUAAGCCCCGGCUAACUUCGUGCCAGCAGCCGCCGCGGUAA
rnacentral:rRNA from 1 species